GCGGAUGUGGCGGAAUGGCAGACGCAGCAGACUCAAAAUCUGCCGGUUUCACGAUCGUGUGGGUUCAAGUCCCACCAUCCGCA
rnacentral:tRNA from 1 species